CCGGAAGUCGCGCGCGGCCGCCAUCUUACUGUGACCACCUUGAGGAGUGAGCUAUUGUGAUUAAUACGGUAUUUUCCACUGUUUUGUUCUGUUAUCUCGCAAUAGAGGAACAAAUCAAGUCAAAUAUGGUAUUUUAACCAAAAGCACAUGUUCAAGAAUGUUGGGGACCUCUUUUACAUCCAAAUAACUCAAUCGUAAAGAAAUGUGUCUAUAUUUUUGACGACGUUUCUGAGUGCGACUGAGAUGAAUCAUGAAUUUAGUCGUGACAACACCUUUCAAAUGGGAAUUUCUGAUAGAGAUCGGUGAAUUAUACCAUAAGUUAACACAUGAGAAAUUGGUCAUGAACUUUAUUGUUUUGGAAAUGGUGAAUUUUAUAGGGACAAGACUCAUAUUUGUUUCUAUCGACCUAAUCAACGCAAACAAAUUAUGUCGCUUGUGGGAUUUGUUAAAGGAACAAAUGAUUCAGGAUGGUAGAAAGAAUAGCAGGUGCGUUGUAGCACAGUUAACUGUGGUUGUAGUGAUCUUAUUUAUGUUAAUGGUGGGUGCUUAAACGCAAUGCCUUGUGAGAAUAUAUCCCAUCCCAUCCCAUCCCUGCUUGUGUAAUAUGUUCCUUAUUAUUAAUUAAAGUCAUAGUCAUGAUUAAUUAUCACUCUUCUGAGAAGACCUCAAUGGUGUUUUAUUCCAAAGAAGCAGAUUAAAAUUAAUAAAUUUGAAAGAAAUUGAAAGUUGUAAAAUAAUGGUAUCUCAUUUCUGUGCUUUUUAGAUCCUAUAGAGACAGUAUAAAGUGAAGAUGGAAAAAUGCUGCAAACAGUUACUUCAGUUGCAUGUCUAUAUAUGCAUUAUAUUGCAUUGUGUAAAAACAAUUUAAUUGUAAAGGGUCUCUAGUAUUAUAGGAUCUGUGUGAAAUUCCAGUAGUUUGUUGCUAAAUACUCAUUUAGUGUCUUUUGCCAAAUAAAGUUUAACUGCCUUGUAUGAGGUAAAAAUGGUUGUAACAAAAAUGCAGGUUGAAAUCAAGCCUUCAAAAGCAUUACACCCACAUUAAUAUUUGCU